AUACGGAGGAUCCUAGUGUUAUCCGGAUUUAUUGGGUUUAAAGGGAGCGUAGGCGGGAGGUCAAGUCAGCUGUGAAAUGUAUCUGCUUAACGGGUACACUGCAGUUGAAACUGGUUUUCUUGAGUGCGUAAGAGGCAGGCGGAAUUCGUUGUGUAGCGGUGAAAUGCUUAGAUAUGACGAGGAACUCCUAUUGCGAUGGCAGCUUGCUGGGUCGUUACUGACGCUGAUGCUCGAAGGUGCGGGGAUCAAACAGGAUUAGAUACCCUGGUAGUCCGCACAGUUAACUAUGGAUACUCUCUGCCGGCGAUAUAAUGUCGGAGGCAAAGCGAAAGCGAUAAGUAUUCCACCUGGGGAGUACGCCGGCAACGGUGAAACUCAAAUGAAUUGACGGGG
rnacentral:rRNA from 1 species